rnacentral:rRNA from 1 species
GUUCACCCGCGCCGAGGGAAGGGAGAGGCGNNNNNNNUGAAAAGAACUUUGAAGAGAGAGUUCAAGAGGGGUGAAACCGUUGAGAGGUAAACGGGUGGGGUCCGCGCAGUCUGCCCGGAGGAUUCAACUCGGCGGGUCAGGGUCGGCCGUUCCGGGGUGGGCGGAUCCCCUCCGGGGGCUGAUGGUCGGGUCCCCCCGUGGGGCUGACCCCGGUCGGGGUCGGCCCCCGCCGGGCGCAUUUCCUCCGUCGGUGGUGCGGCCUCGACCGGCUCUGGGCCGGGGCUUGGAAGGGCUUGGGGCGAAGGUGCUACCGGUUUCGGCCGUGAGCUUUACAGCGCUCCUGCUCCGUACUCGCCGCUUUCCGGGGCCGAGGACUUAGUACCCGCUGCGUCAUGUCCCCCUGCGGGGGGCACGGGCCCCUUUGCCCCCCGGCGCGACUGUCAACCGGUCGGACUGUCUCAGUGCGCACCCAACCGCGUUGCGUCGCCAGGGUUAGAGAUCGGCUCACGUAAACCUGGCGCCGGGGUCAGCGGCGGAUGUCGGCAACCCACCGACCCGUCUUGUAACACGGACCAAGGAGUCUAACGCACGCGCAAGUCAGAGGGUUUUCUCCGAACACACCCCGUGGCGCAAUGAAAGUGAGGGCCGGCGCGCGCGCCGGCCGAGGUGGGAUCCGGCCCCCGGCUGAGGUGGGAUCCCGGCCCUACGGGGUCGGGCGCACCACCGGCCCGUCUCGCCCGCUCUGUCGGGGAGGUGGGCGGUGAGCGCGUGCGAUAGGAACCGGAAAGAUGGUGAACUAUGCCUGGGCAGGGCGAAGCCAGAGGAAACUUCUGGUGGAGGUCAGUAGCGGUCCUACGUGCAAAUCGGUCGUCCGACCUGGGUAUAGGGGCGAAAGACUAAUCGAACACCAUCCUAGUAGCUGGUUUCCUUCCGAAGUUUCCCUCAGGAUAGCUGGGCUCAUGUCUCGCAGUUUUAUCUGGUAAAGCGAAUGAUUGAGGUCUUGGGGCCGAAACGAUCUCAACCUAUUCUCAAACUUUAAAUGGGUAAGAAGCCCGGCUCGCUGGCUUGGAGCCGGGCGUGGGAUGCGACCCGCCUAGUGGGCCACUUUUGGUAAGCAGAACUGGCGCUGCGGGAUGAACCGACGCCGGGUUAAGGCGCCCGAUGCCGACGCUCAUCAGACCCCAGAAAAGGUGUUGGUCGAUAUAGUCAGACGGGGGGUUCCGUUAAGGAGUGUGUAACAACCCACCUGCCGAAUCAACUAGCCCUGGAAAUGGAUGGCGCUGGAGCGUCGGCCCCAUACCCGGCCGUCGCUGGCCCCGAGAGGCUCGAGGGGUAUGCCGCGACGAGGAGGGGGGCCGCCGCGGUGAGCACGGAAGCCUAGGGCGCGGGCCCGGGUGGAGCCGCCGCGGGUGCAGAUCUUGGUGGUAGUAGCAAAAAUUCAAACGCGAGAGCUUUGAAGGCCGAAGUGGAGGGUCCAUGUGAACAGCAGUUGAACAUUGGGUCAGCGGUCCUAAGAGAGGGGCGACCGCCGUUCGGAAGGGAGGGGGCGAUGCCCCCCGUCGCCCCCGGCCGAUCGAAAGGGAGUCGAUUCAGACCCCCGAAUCCGGAGUGGCGGAGAUGGGCGCCGGGCGGGGGGGCCCGGGCGGGAAAGCGGCCGAUCCCGGAGAAGCUGGCGGGAGGCCCCGGGGGGNNNNNNNUGUAAGGGAAGUCGGCAAGUCAGAUCCGUAACUUCGGGAUAAGGAUUGGCGCUCUAAGGGCGGGGCGGGUGGGGCGGGGGUCGAAGGGGGGCGGGCCUGGAGCCGCGGCUGGGGGAAGCAGUUGCUCCCCCCCCCCCCCUUGCCACCGUUGGGAGUUUGCCGUGCCGCGCCCAUCUCGGGGGCUCUCGCUCGUGGUCUCGCAAGGGGCUGCGUGUGGGGGUUUAUCGGGGUGGUGUCCGCCGGUGGGCCGAAGACGGACCGGUGAGGGGUUGGGUCCGGCGUUUGCAGCGACGCUCUGGUCGCGUGCCGGGCCCUUCUCUCUGGAGGCGUGCCGGGCCCCUUCUCGCGGGUCUCCCCGGCUACGGUGCUCGUCGGCCCCGUUAACGCGGUUCUCCGGCGGGUUGCCUCGGCCGGCGCCUAGCAGCUGACUUAGAACUGGUGCGGACCAGGGGAAUCCGACUGGUUUAAUUAAAACAAAGCAUCGCGAAGGCCCAAGGUGGGUGUUGACGGGUGUGAUUUCUGCCCAGUGCUCUGAAUGUCAAUGUGAAGAAAUUCAAUGAAGCGCGGGUAAACGGCGGGAGUAACCAUGACUCUCUUAAGGUAGCCAUUGCCUCGUCAUCUUAAUUAGUGACGUCAUGGAUUGGAUGAACGAGAUCCCACUGUCCCUUCCUCCUAUCUAGCGAAAACUGUCCCUACCUACACCUAGCGAAACCCCAGAGCCAAGGGAACGGGCUUGGCGGAAUCAGCGGGGAAAGAAGAACCCUGUUGAGCUUGACUCUAGUCUGGCACUGUGAAGAGACAUGAGAGGUGAAGAAAACGUGGGCGGCCCCGGCCCGCCGGUGAAAUACCAAUACUCUUAUCGUUUUUUCACUUACCGGGUGAGGCGGGGCGGCGAGCCCCGAGCGGGCUCUCGCUUCUGGCUUCAAGCCCCCGGCUCGCGUCGGGUGCGACCCCCCCCCGGGGCCGGGGCGGGGGGGGGGUGGGUGGGGGGGGACACCCGUCCAACGGGAACGCAGGUGUCCUAAGGCGAGCUCAGGGAGGACAGAAACCUCCCGUGGAGCAGAAGGGCAAAAGCUCGCUUGAUCUUGAUUUUCAGUAGAAUACAGACCGUGGAAAGCGCGGCCUCACGAUCCUUCUGAUUCUUUUGGGUGUUUUAAGCAGGAGGAGUCAGAAAAGUUACUCAGGGAUCACUGGCUUGUGGCGGCCCAGCGUUCUGGCUUGUGGCGGCCAAGCGUUCAUAAGCGACGGCGCUUUGAUCAUCUUCGAGUCGGCUUUCCUAUCAUUGUGAAGCANNNNNNNAAUCCCCCCUAAAUGUGAUGAUACCAUAGUGCCCGGGCUAUACGAUUGUUCCAGGAUAACCGACCCCUCCGGGGGCCGGCGCAGAAAGACAUUUGAUACUGGCUUGGGGUGCGGCCGAAUGAUGGUCGCCCCUCUCCAUGAUCACACCGCAUGUUUAUGAAGGACUGGGUGUUAAACCACUUGCAUACGACCUGAUUCUGGGUCAGGGUGCCAGAACGGGGUGAUUUCCGCCUGCACCAGUCGGAUACGAAUAGGCCUUUGGCCCAGAACCUUACCAGGCCGGCGUUGGCAGUCUCAUUGAAGUUGAGGCUGUUCGCCGGCGUAUUGCAAUUGU